GCUUGUGCUUAUUGAAUAAGCCAAUGGAAGUAGAUUUCCACCAAUUGUUCUCCAACAGGCUUAUUUGCAUAGAUUCUAUUCUGUGGAAGUUUUGACAGUUGGGAUUUCAACCACGAGCGUAGCCAGGAUUUUUGUUAGCAGGGGGCAGGUCUUUUGUUAGGGGGGGCAGAACAGAAGCGAUUAGUCAGUUAGCUAAGUAGUCCUAUUGUUUUACUUGAAGGGGAGGAGCUGCCCCUACCUGCCCGGCCUUGGCUAUGCCCAUGCUUUCAGCUGACUAGCGGUUGGGGGAAGAACAAGUUGCACUAGCAGUUGGCUGCAAGGGGCUGUCUGGUCAAAUCUGUCAAGAAAAAGAAGGCAUUUUGGAAUAAAACGUACUAAUUCCUCACAACUUGGAGAAGUUUCACUUGGCUAGUAUUGGAAGUGGGCUAGACAGCAAAUUGCGCCUUUGAGCAACAUGGCAAGAUCCUGUUGCCUCGAUCUAGCUGGUAUUUCUUCAGAUUUGUUUCCGGCGAUAACUGCUUUCUUGGGAUUACUUGUGAAUUGCUGGCAGAUAAUUUGGCAAUUACAGUGGUGCCCCGCAAGACGAAUGCCUCGCAAGACGGAAAACCCGCUAGACGAAAGGGUUUUCUGUUUUUCGAUGCGCUUCGCAGGACGAAUUUCCAUAUGGGCUUGCUUCGCAAGACGAAAAUGUCUUGCGAGUCUUGAGAUUUUUUUUUCGCUUUCCCCCCCCCUUUAUCUAAGCCGCUAAACCGCUAAUAGCCUUUUAGCAGCUAAUCCGCUAAGCCUUUAAGCCUUUAAUAGCCGCUAAACCGCUAACAGCGCUAAUCCGUUAAGCCGCUAAUAGGGUUGCUUCGCAAGACGAAAAAACCGCUAGACGAAGACACUCGCGGAACGGAUUAAUUUCGUCUUGCGAGGCACCACUGUACUAAGGACAUGCGAAGAAGUGACUGUGGUGGUGACUUUGAAGUGACUCUUAAGAGGUAUUGUUUUCAUUUGUGCUAAUCAUUUCGUAAUUUUCAUAAGCCUAGCUCUGUAAUCAUCUGCAUGGUGAUUUGAGAGGAAGCUCUGUUGAACUCAGGGCAAUUUACUUCUGAGUAAAUAUGCAGAGGCUCAGGCUGUACAUGGAACAAUGUUAGUUUUGGUUAACAUGUGCUUUUUUUCUUAAAAAAUGUUUAGGGGUACUCUCAUUUUGACUCAAGAAAAUCGCCGGGAAAGGAAAUGAAGCCGCCAUCGGAGGUGGUGGCAACGAAACUGACCAAUCACCGUGCUAGAUUCCAACUCCUACUUCACACAUUAAACGCUCGCUUCCGUCUGAGACUCAGGAAACACCAUGACAGGAAAUGAGGCCGCCAUCGGAGGUAGCAACGGAACUGACGAUUCACUGUGCUAGAGAAAAAACUAUUAAUUAAAUUUUUUAAAAAUUAGUUUCUUCUCCCAUUAGGUUCACAAAAUGUUUAUGGGUAUGCGUACCCCUGCAUCCCCUCAGAAAAAAGCACUGGUGUAUACAGGCAAUGGCCAUUGCAAGUGUUAUUCCUGCCCCCGUUUGUGUAGGCAGAGCGUGCAUAAGUGCGCCCUGUCCAUUACACUCCUAUUCUAUCCUAUUCCUGGUCCAAAAGGACCCACACAUCAGUGAUUUUGCAUCAAUUUGAUGCGCCUAGAAUGGUUGCCACCUGUUAAUAGGUCAGUUAGGUCUGGAAACAUGUAAUUGGGGAUGGAUUAAAGCUCAGAGGUAGAGUACAGUG
rnacentral:lncRNA from 1 species